GAUGAAGAACGUAGCGAAAUGCGAUAAGUAAUGCGAAUUGCAGAAUUUCCGUGAAUCAUCGAAUCUUUGAACGCACAUUGCGCCCCGUGGUAUUCCGCGGGGCAUGCCUGUUCGAGCGUCAUUUCACCACUCAAGCCUCGCUUGGUAUUGGGCGACGCGGUCCGCCGCGCGCCUCAAAUCGACCGGCUGGGUCGAUCGCACCCUCAGCGUUGUGGAAACUAUUCGCUAAAGGAGUUGUGGUCGGUCACGCCGUGAAACAAACCAAUCUUUCAAUGGUUGACCUCGGAUCAGGUAGGGAUACCCGCUGAACUUAAGCAUAUCAAUAAGCGGAGGA
rnacentral:misc_RNA from 1 species